GAGGAGGAAGAGAGGCAGAUUUUAACUCUCAACAAACCUUCAAGAGUUUAAAAUAAUCAUUAAAAUAUUUUUAGCUUUAUGAAUUUAUUCAUGGGUUUGAAACCAUGAAUCGUUCUGGUCAUUAUGAACAAGCAACAAGCAGCAACCUAUACAACUUGAAGCCAAGUUUUAUUUAUGGAUGUACCUGCAGAGGUAAAGAAAUGACUCCAAAAUGUCUCUGAAUCUCUAGUGUAACUUUCCAUUGUCCAUCUGUCCCUUUUUAUAUCCACAAUUUCAAGGUCAAGAUGGCUGGGGUCAACUCAGUCAGCCAUUAGGAGUCAGAGGCUUUGGGUAAGUUGAAACUUUCCAGCAAUUUGUAGCCCCUUUGUGUUCUUACAUGUUGCUUUUUUCCCAUUCCUUCUUCUAUUUUGUAAACACACCAUAUUAUUCCUAAUGUGCGUAAUCUAUUCAAUAAUAAACAUUUAUACAUAUAAUAUGCUUUGCAAUCAGGCAGAUUGAAUAUAUUAAAUUGAAUAUAUGGCACAAACUAAACCUAUUUUAGGUAUCUAGUAUACAAAUUAGCCAGAACUGAGCAUAACUGAUUGCUAGGUGACGGCAAAGGGCUUCCAAUCCUAUCCUCGGUAUGUGUAGAAUAUGGAGCAUUGGUGGUAUACAUACAACACUCUGGCCAUAUCAUGCUUUGGGGCAAUAGUCUAGAAGAGAAUCAGUUUUGUGUGUGUUUUUGUGAAAAUCAUAAAAUCUUUAAUAAACAAGUGGUCCAAUCUCACAUGUGUUUUAAUUUGAUGGUAUAUUAUUUUUGGGAGAUUCUAUAACACAUCCUAUUUCCAUUUGUUUUAGUUGUGAUUGUUGGUUUGGCCAAUUUACUCUCAAAAUAUGAACUUCUUGCUGACAGAUAUUAUUCAUGUAAUGACUUUCCUUACAGUAUGCUAUCAAAGGAAAAUAAAAAAGGCUUUAAAGUCACUGUUAAAGCAGAUCCCUCUAGUGGGUAUGUUCUGAUGCAUGGUCGGUACAAAACAUCCCAUUUAGUAAUUGAAAAUGUCGUAUUGGUACCUUUGUAGUCUGGUGUUUUAACUCUCGGGUCUUUGGACAGUGAGGGGACGUUGGAGAAUUAGGAGAAUGUUGUCCCUUGACAGCUGACGCAGGGUUGAGUUUCUGCUUUGAUAGGAGAUGUAAACAUGCUGUCUGAACAUGCAGAAAACUACAUCCCCACAGACUGAAUCAGGUUUGUGUUUUAAAGUUCUCUAAGAAAGCAUACAAUAAACAGUUCACAACUACAGCAUCCCCCCAACUAAACUGGAGCAAUAUUAUAGUUCUGUAUGCUACAUGGUUCUCCAUCUAUCCACAAUCCAUCCUUGUCCUUCCUAAUCUAAUGCUUUUGUCUCCUUUGUUUUUUUCCUCUUUCCAUUUUUCCUGUUCUCCUUCUUUUUUGCCCAUCUCUGUCCCCCACUUCCCUCACUCCCUCUUGUCUCCGUCUUUGGUGUGGUAAUGAACCUGUGGUUUGAACCAGUAGCGACUGGUUUGGGGAUGAGCUCAUGAGAGCGCUUCUUGUUUUUCACUGCGCAGGCCCACUUGGACUGAAAGGGUAGAUCAGCAGAGGUCACUUCAUCGGCAAGCUAAUACAUAGAACCCACAGAGACACAGGUUUUCUUCUCAGUUGGUGAAUCCAAUCUGUUACAAACCUUUGCUCCGAACAUGAGACAGAAACAUUACAUUCUUUGUUCCAUAACAUCUGGUUUGCUGUACAGAGCUGUAGGAAAUCAGAGGGAUCCACAGAAGAUGAUGAGCAGCAGCUCCAGGGGACAGACACUUUGUGGAGUCUGGAACACACCUGUUGCUGGAGCUUAAGGACUCGUGGAUGUGGACUCACUCUCCUGGAAACUCUCACCCGAAGUUCAACAGUCCUCCGUCCUGCCACUCUCACUCUCCCUCUUGGACCUGGGACACAAACCUACCUCGAAGACGGAGUCACUUUCCUCCUGGAUAUCCUUUGCCUCCUCCUCCGAAGCUUACCUCUCUCCCAAGAGCCUGGAAGAAUGACAAAUACAUUCCCCUCUUCAUUCUCACCCAUUCUCCUGUGGAUUACUCAAGUAACGUCUUCCUAUUCCUUACAGGACGA